rnacentral:rRNA from 1 species
AUCGAACGCUGGCGGCAGGCCUAACACAUGCAAGUCGAGCGGGGUUUUCGGACCUAGCGGCGGACGGGUGAGUAAUGCGUAGGAAGCUGCCCGAUAGAGGGGGAUACCAGUUGGAAACGACUGUUAAUACCGCAUAAUGUCUACGGACCAAAGUGUGGGACCUUCGGGCCACAUGCUAUCGGAUGCGCCUACGUGGGAUUAGCUAGUUGGUGAGGUAAUGGCUCACCAAGGCGACGAUCUCUAGCUGGUUUGAGAGGAUGAUCAGCCACACUGGAACUGAGACACGGUCCAGACUCCUACGGGAGGCAGCAGUGGGGAAUAUUGGACAAUGGGCGCAAGCCUGAUCCAGCCAUGCCGCGUGUGUGAAGAAGGCCUUCGGGUUGUAAAGCACUUUCAGCGAGGAGGAAGGGGUAGUAGUUAAUAGCUGCUACUUUUGACGUUACUCGCAGAAGAAGCACCGGCUAACACUGUGCCAGCAGCCGCCGCCGUAA